CUGACAAAAGGAGACCCAGACGACCUACGAGCAUUUUCCCGCUAUUUCUCCGUGAGAUAAGUCCGAGCCUCGUUUAGUGCUGCCAUCUACAUCUGUACCACAGUAUAUACUGUGUAUAUAGUGUAUAUAGUAUAUACUGUGCCUGUACUACAGCUGGAAUUAUAUAGAGAGAAACAUGUUUGCAAUUAUAUUAAAAUAAUUUUAUAAUUUAUAGAAACGAGAACUACAAGAAGGCUUUAGAGAAAGGUAAUGCGUCUCCAAAAAUUGUGGUGGUCGAUUUAUAGGCAAUGGCACCCUUGGAAGGAGAUGUUCAACUAUGAGGUGACAUUAUUAACACCAAUACCACACAGCAGAUUAUUGCACAGUUUGAUAACAUUCAAGGAGAUCUGAUGGUGUGUGACGAAGCACCUGAUAAUUUUAUUCAGUGACUGGUUUAUGUGAAAUGGAUAUAUUCAUUCAAUCGCAGCUUUUAUUAGCUGCUCUGAAUAUAACUACACACAUUUUGAGACCUGGUGGAACGUUUGUGGCCCAAAUUUUUAGUGCUAAAGACGUAUCUUUCUUGUUCGCUCAAUUGAGGAUAUUUUCCCUAUUGUACGAAACCCAGUGGUUCUUGCAAUUCGAGUAAUGAAGCAUUUGUAGUCUGUAAAGACUAUUCUCCUAGAAGGCUGUAAACCACAUAUGCUGAACUCUUUACUGACACAUGAGCAACUUCGAAGAGCUGACAGGAGUCAAUAGAAUCAUUGUUCCAUUUGUUGUAUGCGGAGAUCUUAGUCAACAUGUGCUGAUUCCAACAUGUGCUAUCCACUAAAUUAACGAGAGAAGGACACCGCCCUAUACUGAGACGUUAUCCUCGCCAGAAAGUAGAAUAGCCAGUGGAACCAGCGCUUUUGUUUUCGAUCAUGACACCGAUUUUGACGAAGCCGACAUCAAUAGAGCGAUCGAAAUCGAAAGUGCGACAUGGGCUAAGAAAUGUGCAUUUAUUGGUGCUGUGCAAACCGAUUCUGAAACGAACACAACUGCAAAAACUGCUCAGGAUAAGAGUAAGGAAGAGGAAACAGCCAUCAAUGCAUUACAGAACUUGUACAUAUCCAAGGAAGCUGAAAAUCUAGAUAACUUUGAAUAAAAUAAAUAUAUUAUUUCAUAUUUGUUAAAUAAA